rnacentral:rRNA from 1 species
GACGAACGCUGGCGGCGUGCUUAACACAUGCAAGUCGAACGGAAAGGCCCUGCUUUUGUGGGGUGCUCGAGUGGCGAACGGGUGAGUAACACGUGAGUAACCUGCCCUUGACUUUGGGAUAACUUCAGGAAACUGGGGCUAAUACCGGAUAGGAGCUCCUGCUGCAUGGUGGGGGUUGGAAAGUUUCGGCGGUUGGGGAUGGACUCGCGGCUUAGCAGCUUGUUGGUGGGGUAGUGGCUUACCAAGGCUUUGACGGGUAGCCGGCCUGAGAGGGUGACCGGACACAUUGGGACUGGGAUACGGCCCAGACUCCUACGGGAGGAAGCAGUGGAGAAUAUUCCACAAUGGGCGGAAGCCUGAUGCAGCAACGCCGCGUGCGGGAUGACGGCCUUCGGGUUGUAAACCGCUUUCGAAUGUGACGAAGCGUGAGUGACGGUAAUGGGUAAAGAAGCACCGGCUAACUACGUG